AGAAAUAUGCAGGAUGGAACAUGGUAGCUUAUUACGCAGAUGAUUGUCUUGUUGCAUUCCAGACGCUGUGCCCAAGGCAAUCUACUCUGAUCUAACUGUGUCCUUAGAUGGCGCUUUGUCGGGUGAGGGUGACAGGAAGAAGAAAUGAAAAUUUGUACCUGAAGAAAAUCUGACAUAGCCAGUAACACCUCUAAUGACUGCUGCUGUAUUACAGGAAUUCAAUCUAUCAUCUUGGGUCUUCGGCCACCAGCCCAUGAGGGUGUAAGAAUUGAGCAAACAGGGACACCUCAUAAAAAUACCAAGGAGCCGGAAUGCCCACUAAGCCCAAAGACAGAGAGUUUCAGAAGGGUUUACUGAACAAACAUCCGUCCCCAAGAGAUGCCCUAAUUGUGGGCUGUAAUGCUGGGUUCCAGGAAACGUCCCUAGGAGGGGGUGGAUCUCCCCCAACCCCUCCUAUGUGCAACAGGUAUCUCCUCCUCACCUGGGGGACAAAGGUCAAUAGAAACAAAGAACAAUGGGAAAGAUAGCCAACUCACACUGGAAAACUAUGUUCUGAAAGGGUAUAAAGAGUGUGUCCUUCCGUUCCCAGGGGUCGCCUUUGCCUGAAUGUGGGACUACCCCAGUAUACUGGAUUAUUAAAAACCUCUUGCUAAUUGCAUCGA